AUUGUGCUUCCGCUCGAUCUACUUGGGUGUGCUCUACUUGUGUGUAGGGACUUGUUUAUAUUGUUAGAAAUACUCUGCAAGACACAUAUCCCAAGUGUCUUAUAGGUUCAAGCUCGAGAGGGGACUUGUUCCUGCUGACUGCGCUGUCUGCCUGCAUAGACCGGUCUGACCGGUCUGACCGGUCCAGGCAGUCCUAGCAGGGAUUAAGCGCCAAAUUUUGAAGAAAUGCCUAUUCACCCCCCCUCUAGGCUACGACAUUGCGUGAUCAAGAUCCUUUCAAAUAGAGAGAUAGCAAAGGUCUUGCUUGUUGAUAGUGUGAUAGAACAACUGAACAAGAACCAAUUUGAGGUCGUCAACUCCUACAUAAAUACAUAAAAUGUAAACAUGAACAUAGUGGUAGGGGUUUACUACUGACCAUUUCUAGAUUGUUGGAAAUUAUUUGUAUGCAGGUGAAAUGAGGCAGAAAACAAACUUCAAGAGCAAGGAAACACACUCCUAAAUCCAAGGCAAAAGGCAUCGACCAAUCUGGAUUAGACAGGAGCCAUUCCAUGUGGAUUAGGCAAGAGGACCCAGCUACUAGUCACCCAGCCAAUGAUGGGCCGAUUCGGGACUGGCCGAUGGUUGGCCAACCACCCCGGUCGGUCGACCGGCCCACGGCGCCAAUCGACCUCAGGCUUCGACGUGGCAGCUCCCCAUUGGUCCUAGAAGUCGGUUCUGGGAGGAUCACCUGUUGAAAUUGACCUUGCUGGCCGUGGCUCCCUCCUAUAUAUAUGAGGGAAGGGGUUCCAUUUGAAGACACAUCCACCAAGUGCUCUCUCAAGCCUCCUCUUGCAUUAGAGUUGUGUUAGAUUAGGGAGAGGGUAGAGGUACUCAAGAGGGGCACCGGUAUUUGGCGCUCUUCUCCAUUUUGUACCUCUACGAGAGUGAGGGAGUAGAUCGGGAGAAGGGCCGGGGUGCCGGCAUUCUGCUCCCAGCUUGUAUCUCUACAGAUGCUGCUACAUUCUUCAGUAUUUAGUAAGUAUUCAUGGUUCCUAUCUCUAGUAUUUCACUUGGUAUAGUAGAUGCUAGUAGUGCUUGUAGUUGAGUGAGAUCAGUUCUCUUACUCGUGGGUUCAUCACUCUGUAUUCAUACAGAGUGCUGUAGUUUGCUACGGGGUACCAAACGUAGUUAACCUGCAGUAGUUCCAUUCCCGAUUCGAGGAUGAUCCGUCUGGAACCCAUAAAUACACCUCGAAUCUCAUAAAUGCCCAAGUUGGGGAGGAACUUUCAUGUGUCCAUGCCGAUCAAUCUCAAAAUUCCUUGACAGAACCUUCCCUUAGGCCUACGGUACCUCUUUCUCCUCUUGAUAUCCUUAAUGAAGAAAUUCUCGAGGAAACCAAGAAGGAGGAAUGGUCAGAUGGAGAGAAACGCUUUUCUGAAGCAAUUUGGAUUACCUCACCCUCCACGAUCACUCCUUGCUCAAUAAGGAGAACCACCAUAGAAGCCCACAUUAACCCCAUCAUGGAGGUUAAUGUUUUGCCAUGGCUCUUACACUACAAGAAAUCUUUUAAUCUAUGACAAUUUUUCGGUGACAUUUUCAAAAACUGUCAUAAACAGAUAGAAUCUAUGAUGAUUUUUACAUUUUCAUCACAGACUUGCAAAUAGCCCAACGGGCUCUAAUUUGGGCCCAGUAUCUGUGACAAACCUCUGAAAACGUCAUAGAAUGAAAAUAAAAAUCGUCAUGAAUUUGAUAUUGUGCUCAAAACUACAAUGAUGAUAAAAAAAAUGCGUUAUAGGUUGUGUCACUUCAACAAUUUUUUAGAAAGAAAUUGUAGGGAAAAAAAAGAAAGAAAAGUGGAGAAGUCGUUGGGGAAAAAGAAAAAAAAGCGGACCAGGGGGGCUUCUAAUCUAAGAAGAAAACUCUUGUAGCUUUCCAUAAUUCAUAAUAUAAAUAUACUUAUUUGGUGUCCCACAGCCAUACAAGUGCAUUUUCUCUUUUUAAUUCGGAAUUAAAAUUUGUAACUAGUAUUUCUUCCCCAUAUGAACUCCAAAUUUGAUGUUUCUUUUUCCUAAAUUUUUCUAAAGUCAUGAUUUUUCAUUUAAUAGUGUUUUUUUGCAUGUUAAUUGCUAUUUUUGGAAAAAAAUUUAUAAGACUUGCUUUCUUCCACCUAAAUGGAGAAUAGAUAAAACAUGUUUUUAAAUAACAUUUGUUAAUGUGGCUUAAUAUUUUCUUAUAUUAUACAAACAUAAGGUUGUGUCCAAAUUUGAGGUCCAUACGAGUUUGAAAAUGUUAUGAUAUAUUCAAAUUUCAAAGUUUGACUUGAGUUGUAUGAAACAAUAUGAGAGAUCUAUCCAUUUUGUGAACAAUGUAUACUCCAAUUAUCAUAAAUCUUAUGAAACUUUUUUGUCAAGCUUAUACUUCCAUAAAAUGAUUCUAUGCUAAUUUACAGAAGUUUUAGAGAAAUUUUAGGUAUUAUCAUUAUUAUUUUAUAAUAUGAUUGUAAAUAGAAGUUUGAAUAGUCCCUAACGAACAUUUGAAAUUUUUACCUACUUUUCGGAUAUGAGCUAUAAUAUAAUAGAAGUACUUAAGAUAUAUUUAUUUGGAAUUUUGUAAAUAUUAUUUGUAUUAUUUGAGAUACAUGCAGUUCAAAUUUUAAUUAUUUUCAAUAAGCACCAAAAAAUUCAUUUAAAAUAUUGAAAAUAGUAAAUGAGCUCGAAAGUUAUUGAAACUUCUAAACCAUAACUUAUAUGUACUCUACUAUAUAUAAAAAAUAUAUGGGUAUAUAUAGGAUAAUUAUUUUUCUGUGUUACUUUAGGAUGGUGCAAUGAAAUGAAAAAUAAAAAAAAGAAGAUGUUAAACGGGCUGGAAAACCAAGCCAGGUCCGAUUUCCUCGGGCCGUCCAUUACCAAUCGAACGAUUCACAUCGAUCUCCGGUUGCAUAAAAAGACUAGCCAAGACUGGAACCCUAGUUCCCUUCCCUCCACAUGCCGACUCCUCACAGAUUCCCCGUCGCUCCCUCUUCUAUCUCCUCAGAUCCACCUGCUGCUCCCAUCCUGCUCGGUCGCCCGCCGGGUCGUCCCGCCCACCGGCGUUUCCAUCGGCUCCUCCCCCGAAGGCACCGCGUCGGUGAAGCCCAGAUCCGCCGCCCCUAUCCUGAAUCCGCAUCUUCGGGUCCGGGGUGUCCUUCUCCUUGUCGACAGUGCUUCUCGUGGGCAGGUCUCGUAGAUCUAGCCACGGCAGGACGUGGCGGCGUGGCGCUCGCAACCCCCCGGACUCGAGGCGCUCCGACACAGGCGGCCUGAAUCUUGGGAGGGGUCCCCCUUCUGUUGUGUUGUUUUCUUGUCUGUUGUUAUCGGGACGUGAACCCAGGUUGGGGGCGAGCGCGAGGAGCAGGCGAGGCUUGUGCGCACACUGGCUGCACCAGCAACCCAUAACACGCGAGGUCCACCACCUGGCCGGCAGUCAGUCCCUCGGCGCCCAUGCCGUUCCCGAGCUCGGCCACGGCACGGAGUGCGCGCUCGGCUGGGACGCCGCCGCCACCGCCAGCGCAGCCGUGGGCCAUGUGCUUGAACACACCUGAUAUCCUAGGAGAAACCAGUUAGGAAGCCUUCCAUUGCAGCAGCGUGAAGCAGAAGCGACGGCUGCGGUAUCGAUAGCACCAGUCCCAGGUAAAAGAAUUGAACACAUGGAUGUCAAGAUCGAGUCCAAAUUGCACCAGUUCAAUUAGAUGCCAUGGUCACUGUUAUUCAAUUAUACAUAUGCUGAAUAGGUUAUGUGACAUUACAGUUUACAGGUUGCAUUAUUACCAUGGAGCUUGGAAUGGAGCAAAGUUGCAGGGUUUGAUCAAUGAGGUUGAUGCUGGAUGCACACUUGUUAUGUUGUUUGAUGUAAUGUUCAGAAUUUGUAUUCGAUGUGGUAUUGGAUGUUAUUGAAUGUGAUACUGUAUCAGCCUGGUAAAUUUUUUUAGAGAAAAAUCAGGCUGGUAAAGUAGAAACUGAGUUCUUGUUCAAUUUGUUGUGUAAACAAAAUUGCAAUGUAUUUUUUGCAUGAGUUU